GCUGGGAGUAAGGGUCAGCGGCGCAGAGGAGGUUUUAUUAUUUUAAGUAAUCUUCGUAGCCAACGUGGGGCUCAAGCUCACGAUCCUGAGAUCAAGAGUCACUCCACCAACUGAGCCAGCCAGGUGCCCUUAGUUCCAGUUCUUAAUGACCAUGAAACAAAGGGGCUUGGAAGUUGGCACUCAAAAACGGCUGGCUCCAGAAGACCUGAAGCUCCCACAAGGUCAGGAAGGUAUGGAAUAUUUGAACAGAGCCUCACUCGUCCACCCACAUACCUGCUGGUGACGAUAGAUGCCAUACACUGCAGGAGGGACUGGCACAUUGACGCUGUCAAAGACCAGUUUACUUCCAGACUUGCUGCUGUAGAGAUGAGCCAGUUCAGGCUCUGGACCCAGGAUGGGGAUGCCUAACAUAUCCGCCACGGCCAAAUCAUCUCUAUGGAGGAACCCGCCGACAAUGUAGGCCUCUUUUCCUUGGAUGAGAUUUUUUAUUCUUUUGAUCGCCUUGGGACUGUACAUCAGAUGCAAACCCACAAAGUUGCAAAACCACACUAUGAAUGUGACUCAGCGCAUCGGUUAGUGCCAACUGCCUAUCUCUUGCUUAGAAGCUGAAGAGUGGUCUGCAGUGCAUAUGUCUCAGGUAACAACAGGAUUGCAGAGCUGGGAAGGGCUUUGAAAUGCCCUAGCCAUCACCUGAUUGUAUGGACGAAGCUCAGAGGACCAGAAAGGUAAAGGGAGCUGCCCAUGCCACAGGGUCAUCCAGGAGCAAAGCAAUCAUUCCAGUUCCUGAUACUGUUCUGGGCUCAGACACAUUUUGGCUCACACUUUGAGCCCACCAGUAACUUUGGACCAGAACAGGAGACUUGGUUUCCUCAGCCAUAGAAAGAGAUUGGUCAUUUCUGUCAUGUUGCAUUGUUCUGAGGACCAAAUGAGAAAAUGUGUGCUAAGCAUUUGAUAAAUAUUAGUUGUGCACUCACUUUCCUUCUCCCAAACUAGUGCUCCUUUCCUAGUCCAUGCCCCUUCAAUGUACACGGACAUUUCAGAUGUACAGAAACUCCUUAGCAGCAGCUACCAGGCAUUAGCUCCAGUUUCUGGCUGGAUAAAAUCAGGACAUGAACUACACACUAACGAUGGUUUUGUCUUCCCUGCUUUCUAAUGUCCACAGUGACCCUGCCAUUGAGGCCAGGGGUUAGCUAGGAAGCACCAAGCAAUCCUUGCACACUGAUGGAAGAUAUUGGGUUCCUAAUAGCAUAGGAUCUUCUUCACUCGGGUCUUAUGGCAAUGUAAGAGCCACGCGAUGGCAAUCACACCUGAAGCCCACUUCUGCUGGCGAUAAAUGAAGAAAAUUUGUCUCGCUUUGAAGCAUUUCCAUGUGGCUUGGAUCUUGAUGGCAGCCUCUGACUUUCCAUCUUGGCCCUUGUACCUUUGGCCCGGAAGAUUUAACAUCAUUUGGAUGUGAACUGGGUUCUCUACCAGUGAAAGAAAGUCAUAUCUGAGACUCAUGUGGAAUUGGGACCAUCGAUGAAAAUGGAGCAACCUUGGGAGAAGAUUCUGAAAGAAGGGGACUCCAGUCUCUCUCAGGCAGUGCCUUCAAAUGGUAUAGGGCAAGACAAGAAAGGAGACAGGUUUGUGCUGGGCACAAAACCCACCAGGGAGGCACGCUGCACUCUUCAAGAAGUAGGCUUAUUUGGGGGAGCCUGGGUGGCUCAGUCAGUUAAGCAUCCAACUUCCGCUCAGGACAUGAUCUCAC